UUGACCACGCCCACUUCCGGUGUAACCUCCGCCCAUUUCCUGUCACCUGAGUGCUAGGCCAAGGGGCUAGGGAGGUCUAUUAUAGUACCAUAGUAGAUGUAACAUUAUGUCUAGAUAGCUAUGGCUCCAGUGCAGUGAUAGUAAGAUCAAGAAGUUAAACAAAAGCUGGUUGCAUCGGUGGUACCCAGUCUUGCAAUGAACCGUUGCCGUCUUUGUCCAAUAUCGAAAUGGAGUCAAAACAAAUCUACCAAGCGUUUGACCACCAACCUGAUAUGGUGAGAAAAGUACACAGGCACGACAAUACACUCCAUCAGAACAUUGACUGUAAUGCAUCCACGGGUAUGAUCUCAGCCAUUCUGGUUUGAACCGACGGAAAUUGCUUGAAGGACAUGGUCUGGUGCGUGGAUAGCUCUCUGGAUCAGUAUUGGGAUUGGUAGUCAAGAUUCGAUACUUGUGAUCUCUUGUUAAACUCUUAAUAUCUACCCCUGAGUUAAGGAGUUUCCCAAUGUCGCAAUCAUCACUUGAGGUAGCACCACCUAAGCCACACCGGAUAAUGCAGUCACCCUCCUCCAUAUCAAGUUCACUGUCUGAAUCUUCAGUGUCACUGGGGACGUCAGUAGGGGGAGACGAGUCAGCAGGGCUGACAAUAGCAUCCUGUGACUCCUGUGACUCUGAACCUACAAUUGAAGUUGUUUUUAUUUAUAAGUUUUGUUGUUUAUUUAUCAUAAUUUAUAUGAUUUGGAUUUUUAUUUAUGUGAAACCGUACCUGCUUUACUCUUUUUGAAGAAUGUUGAAAUUGGCACUUGACUUGG